rnacentral:rRNA from 1 species
CCUAACACAUGCAAGUCGAACGGUAGCACAGAGGAGCUUGCUCCUUGGGUGACGAGUGGCGGACGGGUGAGUAAUGUCUGGGAAACUGCCCGAUGGAGGGGGAUAACUACUGGAAACGGUAGCUAAUACCGCAUAACGUCGCAAGACCAAAGAGGGGGACCUUCGGGCCUCUUGCCAUCGGAUGUGCCCAGAUGGGAUUAGCUAGUAGGUGGGGUAACGGCUCACCUAGGCGACGAUCCCUAGCUGGUCUGAGAGGAUGACCAGCCACACUGGAACUGAGACACGGUCCAGACUCCUACGGGAGGCAGCAGUGGGGAAUAUUGCACAAUGGGCGCAAGCCUGAUGCAGCCAUGCCGCGUGUAUGAAGAAGGCCUUCGGGUUGUAAAGUACUUUCAGCGAGGAGGAAGGCGUUGUGGUUAAUAACCGCAGCGAUUGACGUUACUCGCAGAAGAAGCACCGGCUAACUCCGUGCCAGCAGCCGCGGUAAUACGGAGGGUGCAAGCGUUAAUCGGAAUUACUGGGCGUAAAGCGCACGCAGGCGGUCUGUCAAGUCGGAUGUGAAAUCCCCGGGCUCAACCUGGGAACUGCAUCCGAAACUGGCAGGCUAGAGUCUUGUAGAGGGGGGUAGAAUUCCAGGUGUAGCGGUGAAAUGCGUAGAGAUCUGGAGGAAUACCGGUGGCGAAGGCGGCCCCCUGGACAAAGACUGACGCUCAGGUGCGAAAGCGUGGGGAGCAAACAGGAUUAGAUACCCUGGUAGUCCACGCUGUAAACGAUGUCGACUUGGAGGUUGUGCCCUUGAGGCGUGGCUUCCGGAGCUAACGCGUUAAGUCGACCGCCUGGGGAGUACGGCCGCAAGGUUAAAACUCAAAUGAAUUGACGGGGGCCCGCACAAGCGGUGGAGCAUGUGGUUUAAUUCGAUGCAACGCGAAGAACCUUACCUACUCUUGACAUCCAGAGAAUUUGCUAGAGAUAGCUUAGUGCCUUCGGGAACUCUGAGACAGGUGCUGCAUGGCUGUCGUCAGCUCGUGUUGUGAAAUGUUGGGUUAAGUCCCGCAACGAGCGCAACCCUUAUCCUUUGUUGCCAGCACGUAAUGGUGGGAACUCAAAGGAGACUGCCGGUGAUAAACCGGAGGAAGGUGGGGAUGACGUCAAGCCAUCAUGGCCCUUACGAGUAGGGCUACACACGUGCUACAAUGGCAUAUACAAAGAGAAGCGAACUCGCGAGAGCAAGCGGACCUCAUAAAGUAUGUCGUAGUCCGGAUUGGAGUCUGCAACUCGACUCCAUGAAGUCGGAAUCGCUAGUAAUCGUAGAUCAGAAUGCUACGGUGAAUACGUUCCCGGGCCUUGUACACACCGCCCGUCACACCAUGGGAGUGGGUUGCAAAAGAAGUAGGUAGCUUAACCUUCGGGAGGGCGCUUACCACUUUGUGAUUCAUGACUGGGGUGAAGUCG